UCUAGUAUAGCAAUUAUACAGCGAAACUGCGAAUGGCUCAUUAUAUAAGUUAUCGUUUAUUUGAUAGUGCCUUACUACUUGGAUAACCGUGGUAAUUCUAGAGCUAAUACAUGCUAAAAACCCCGACUUCGGAAGGGGUGUAUUUAUUAGAUACAAAACCAAUGCCCUUCGGGGCUCUUUGGUGAUUCAUGAUAACUAUACGAAUCGCACGGCCUUGCGCCGGCGAUGGUUCAUUCAAAUUUCUUCCCUAUCAACUUUCGAUGUUUGGGUCUUGGCCAAACAUGGUUGCAACGGGUAACGGAGGGUUAGGGCUCGACCCCGGAGAAGGAGCCUGAGAAACGGCUACUACAUCCAAGGAAGGCAGCAGGCGCGCAAAUUACCCAAUCCCGACUCGGGGAGGUAGUGACAAUAAAUACUGAUACAGGGCCCUUUCGGGCCUUGUAAUUGGAAUGAGUACAAUUUAAAUCCCUUAACGAGGAACAAUUGGAGGGCAAGUCUGGUGCCAGCAGCCGCGGUAAUUCCAGCUCCAAUAGCGUAUAUUAAAGUUGUUGUGGUUAAAAAGCUCGUAGUUGAACCUUGGGCCUGGCUGGCCGGUCCGCCUCACCGCGUGCACUGGUCCGGCCGGGCCUUUCCCUCUGUGGAACCCCAUACCCUUCACUGGGCGUGGCGGGGAAACAGGACAUUUACUUUGAAAAAAUUAGAGUGCUC
rnacentral:rRNA from 1 species